rnacentral:rRNA from 1 species
GACGAACGCUGGCGGCGUGCUUAACACAUGCAAGUCGAACGGAAAGGCCCUGCUUUUGUGGGCUUCUCGAGUGGCGAACGCGUGCGUAACACGUGUGUAACCUGCCCUUCUCUUUCGGAUAACUUCAGGUAACUGGGCCUAAUACCAUACAGGAGCCCCUGCUCCAUGGAGGGCGUUGGAAAGUUUCGGCGGUUGCGGUUGGACUCGCGGCUUAUCAGCUUGUUAGUGGGCUAGUGGCUUACCCAGGCUUUGGCGGGUAGCCGGCCUGUGAGGGUGGCCGGCGACAAUGGGACUGAGAUACGGACCAGAGUGGUACGGGAGGCAGCAGUGGGGAAUAUGGCACAGUGAGCGGGAGCGUGAGGCAGCGACGCCGCGGGCGGGAUGACGGCCUUCGGGGUAAGAACCGCUUUAGCCUGUGACGAAGCGGGAGUGACGGUAAUGAGUAAAGAAGCACCGGCUAACUACGUG